GCCCAGUACCACUGUAUGCUGAGUGUAUUACUGUAGAGAAAACUGUCUGCUCAGAAGAGUUCGGAGUCAAUGCAAAAGCCAUCUAUUUUUAAAACGUCUCAGAAGGAUGUGCAAGAAAAAGAAUUUACAGCUUGCAGGUUCUCAAAAGCUGAUCUUGGGAAGACAAAAAGCUUUUCUCAAAGCAAUACUUGCCCAUCCACCUAUUUCAGAGGAACACAACAUCCAACAAGGCUAGUCUUUUGUUGCACUGGUGGCCAGAGUUGGACACAACUGGAAAAGGCUGCAGAGUUUGAAGAGGUAUUCAGCAAACUCCUGCAACACUCGAUCUGGGAGACAUUCAAGUUACACCUGGCACGUUAUCAGAAAGCAGAGAACUGCAGCUUGAAGAUGCUGGAGUCCAUGCUUGCCUUGGACAGCAGAAACCUUAAUGAGAUGCCCUCUGGAAUGCUUAUAAUUGAAGGUGAAAAUGGACUUCAUGUUUCUAAAGAAGAAGGUCUUCAGACACUGCAGGUCAUAAACGUCAAUGCAUGUAAGAAAAUAUUUCAGUUUGGUGCAUGGUUCACACUCCACGUUGUUAUAUUGAAGGUUUCAAUAUCUGUACAUUAAUAUUUUGCUUUUAAGGUACUGAGCAUCCACAAAGUUCAUUCAUCAGUUCUGAUGGCAGGUAACAGCAAGCUGAUCAAAGACUGACAAAGCAAGCUACUGGAUAAAUUACCAGAGAGGAAUAACCUACAGCCAAAGUGAUUUAAUUUCUUAACAGGAGUUAACUUUGUGCAAGAACUACCUAUACUAAAGAUAUUUAUUUUAGUUACUGAAGACUAAGCUGAAAAAAAGCACUGUGAAUCAUUUCUGUUUUGCUAUGAAUCAUUGUUACAUUUAUUCUUGACCUGAUUUUGUGAUUUCCAUGCUUUAUGCUUUAUCCAGUUAAAUAUUCACGAGUCAUGAUGCUGAAUAUUUACUUUUCCCUUCACAGUUGUUUUCUAAGUAUAGUUCUUUGUUUAAUAUGCUCUGACCUCAUGUAUAUUUGACAGCCUCUAAAGAGCGUUUUUCCUCUGGAAGUAAUAAAGGAGUUCUGUUUGUUAUAUUUUUAUAAAUUCACAAGAAUUUAUGCUGUGAGCAACCCAGGCU
rnacentral:lncRNA from 1 species